AACGAACGCUGGCGGCGGGCUUAACACAUGCAAGUCGAACGCAUCCUUCGGGGUGAGUGGCAGACGGGUGAGUAACGCGUGGGAACGUGCCCUUCAGUUCGGGAUAACCCAGGGAAACUUGGGCUAAUACCGGAUACGUGCGAGAGCAGAAAGAUUUAUCGCUGAAGGAUCGGCCCGCGUCUGAUUAGCUAGUUGGUGGGGUAAUGGCCCACCAAGGCGACGAUCAGUAGCUGGUCUGAGAGGAUGAUCAGCCACAUUGGGACUGAGACACGGCCCAAACUCCUACGGGAGGCAGCAGUGGGGAAUAUUGGACAAUGGGCGAAAGCCUGAUCCAGCAAUGCCGCGUGAGUGAUGAAGGCCUUAGGGUUGUAAAGCUCUUUUACCCGGGAUGAUAAUGACAGUACCGGGAGAAUAAGCCCCGGCUAACUACGUGCCAGCCGCCGCCGUAA
rnacentral:rRNA from 1 species